rnacentral:rRNA from 1 species
GAGUUUGAUCCUGGCUCAGGAUGAACGCUAGCGGCAGGCCUAAUACAUGCAAGUCGAACGGGCCUUGGGACUUCGGUUCCAAGGCCAGUGGCGCACGGGUGCGUAACGCGUAUGCAACCUACCUCUCACUGGGGGAUAGCCCGUCGAAAGACGGAUUAAUACCGCAUAAGACUCUUUGAGGGCAUCCGAGGAGAGUUAAAGAUUUAUCGGUGGGAGAUGGGCAUGCGUGCCAUUAGCUAGUUGGCGGGGUAACGGCCCACCAAGGCGACGAUGGCUAGGGGUUCUGAGAGGAUGAUCCCCCACACUGGCGCUGAGACACGGGCCAGACUCCUACGGGAGGCAGCAGUAGGGAAUAUUGGGCAAUGGCCGAGAGGCUGACCCAGCCAUGCCGCGUGCAGGACGAAGGCCUUCUGGGUUGUAAACUGCUUUUAUCUGGGAAGAAAACGCCCCUGCGGGGGUAACUGACGGUACCAGGUGAAUAAGCACCGGCUAACUCCGUGCCAGCAGCCGCGGUAAUACGGAGGGUGCGAGCGUUGUCCGGAUUUAUUGGGUUUAAAGGGUGCGUAGGCGGCCCGUUAAGUCAGCGGUGAAAUCCCACGGCUCAACCGUGGAACUGCCGUUGAUACUGGCGGGCUUGAGUACAGACGAGGCAGGCGGAAUUGAUGGUGUAGCGGUGAAAUGCAUAGAUACCAUCAGGAACCCCGAUUGCGAAGGCAGCUUGCUAGGCUGUGACUGACGCUGAGGCACGAAAGCGUGGGGAGCGAACAGGAUUAGAUACCCUGGUAGUCCACGCCGUAAACGAUGAUCACUCGAUGUCGGCGAUAGACCGUCCGCGUCUUAGCGAAGCGUUAAGUGAUCC